AACGCGAAGAACCUUACCAAGGCUUGACAUCAUACGGAAUACGGUGGAAACAUCGUAGUCUUCGGACCGUAUGACAGGUGGUGCAUGGUUGUCGUCAGCUCGUGUCGUGAGAUGUUGGGUUAAGUCCCGCAACGAGCGCAACCCCUGUUUUUAGUUGCCAGCGAGUAAGGUCGGGCACUCUAGAGAGACUGCCGGUGACAAAUCGGAGGAAGGUGGGGACGACGUCAAAUCAUCAUGCCCCUUAUGUCUUGGGCUACACACGUACUACAAUGGCUAUUACAGAAGGCAGCGAAGGAGUAAUCCGGAGCGAAUCCCCAAAGAUAGUCCCAGUUCGGAUUGUGGGCUGCAACUCGCCCACAUGAAGUCGGAAUUGCUAGUAAUUGCAGGUCAGCAUACUGCAGUGAAUACGUUCCCGGGUCUUGUACACACCG
rnacentral:rRNA from 1 species